ACACAUCAAAGGAAGAUGUUGUUAUUAUUUAAGAAGCCCAGUGUUGAUUAAUUAAAUAUGAGUGAAUAGGUGGAGAAUCAAGGAGUUAUAUUUAUCCUGGGGAAUGAGGUAUAUGUUUUUGUGUGGCAUUUGUGAGUAUGUGAAUGCAGCCAAGACACUACCGAAAGGGGGCAGUAAUGCACCAAAGUGAUUGAUGCCAACCGCUAUCACACCAAAGAAGAAGAAACCAACCGCAAAACCCGAAAGUUACUAUUUUGUGGUUGCUCGCCAACGCAGGAAAAUAAGUUUAGUUGUUUAUUUUAUUUAUUUUUAUACAUAUUUUUUUACCAUUUAUUAUUUCUUUUAAACGUAUAAUGCCCAACAGUAGUUUAUCACGGUAGGAAAGUGUUGCUACUCGCUAAAAUCUUCAAACAUACUGUAGAAGGCGUGAUAUACUUGAAUGUAGCCUAGAAUAAACUUCCCUUAACGGCCAUGAAGUGAUCUCCCGCCUACGAAAAGGUGGUUUAGAUUGUCAGAUUGAUGCACUGAAGCAAGACUACAAGCCAUGUAGCUUGUUUCUGCUAGUGUGGGUACGUUUCCCGCCUCGGGCGUUACUUCCCCUCCUACAAAGGACACGUAGUUGUUCGCUCUGAGCCGCAUAAGAGACUGCGACCAUGAGCAAAUCCAACCGUCGGUCCAAACCCCCGCAGAAGGGCAGCGGCUGUGACCGGCUGAUGUGGCGUCGUGUACGGGUACUGCUGCUGUGUCUCCUCGGGGUGCUGCUGCUUACGCUGGGAGUCGGAGUCUACCACCUGUCCAACGAUAGCACCACCACUGGGAAUGUUAACCGCAUUCAGGUUGCAGAUCUGACCAAGGACCGGUUGCUGCACAAACACACAAAGUUCUCUCCAUCUCAAAUUCACCACCUGGCAUCCCAAGUGGACGGGAAUCGUCUGUGGGAGACGCACCUGAAGCCCAUCCUGAUUGAGAGGCUUCCCGGGACGCAAGGCAGCCUGGUUGUCCAGCAGCACAUCACCUCCACAUUGUCCUCCCUGUCCGCCGGCUGGGACAUUCACCUGGACUCCUUCCAGUCCUCGACUCCUCGUGGAGAGGUCACGUUCACAAACAUCGUCGCCACUCUGGAACCUUCAGCUCCACGUAGGCUGCUGCUAACGUGCCAUUACGACUCCAAGGCACUACCUCCGGACAGACACGCCCCAGAGAGGGUUUUUCUUGGGGCUAGCGACUCGGCAGUGCCUUGUGCUAUGAUCCUGGAGCUGGCCACCUCUCUGGAUAAUCGGCUUAGGUCCUUCAAACAACAGAAGCUUCCAUUAUCCCUCCAGCUUGUGUUCUUUGAUGGGGAGGAGUCCUUUGAGGAAUGGACCGCCACCGACUCGCUGUACGGCUCCCGUCACAUGGCUGAGCGCAUGGCCCGCACGCCUCACCCUGCCGGCUCCCCACACUCCACCAUGCUAGAAGCUGUGGAUCUGUUUGUGCUGCUAGACCUUCUCGGUGCUCCCGAUCCACUAAUUGUAAACCACUUUGACAACACAGCACGAUGGUUUGACCGUCUGAUUGCUGCAGAGAAGCGCCUUCAUCGUCAAGGCCUGCUGGUGUCGCACCCUUCCGAGCAGACCUACUUUAGGAAGGACUUGUUCUUUGGACCAGUCCAGGAUGAUCACAUACCCUUCCUCCAUCGAGGUGUGCCCGUGCUCCACGUCAUCGCCACCCCCUUCCCAAAGUUCUGGCAUACGCUGGACGACACAGCGGAGAACAUCCAUCGUCCCACUGUGGAGAACCUGACCAGGAUCAUGGCGGUGUUUUUGGCUGAAUACCUCGGCUUAUGAAGAAGAAAAAAACCUUGACGUGUGACUUCUGAUGAGUUUCUCAUCAACCUCUUAAAAGUACGGUACGCUGUCACUAGUGGAGCGAGAUGAAGCCUCAACGGACCAGCAAAGAAACUUGACCAAAGACUCGAUGACCUGCAAGACUACCAUGUCAGCAUUUAAGUGCGUCCCAGGAGGGGUUCGGUCCCUUUGCCUCCUGUUCUUGAACCAGUUGCUGACCUGCGUGAGGGACAGCCCGGUUACUUUGGCCAAGUUCUUCUUCUCGUCCGGUGUCGGGUACCUGUUGCUUUUGUAACACUCUUUCAAGGCGUUACGGGACUUCUCCUUAAAACAGUACACUGUCUCCUCCCCGUCCCAGAUGGUUUUGGGCAAGGGGAACUUUUUCCUCAGUCUGUACUUGUCCACGGCGCCCAGGCUGCGGCCCCGAGACCUCUCCGCCUCCUUGUAGCGGGCUUUCAGGUACAGGUCCUGCAGGAAGACGUGGUUAGACGGGUGGAAGUCGUGGCUCUCCAGGAGGGCGUAGAGCUCCUUGAAUUGUUCCCGGUGGAAAGCCACCAAAGCCUGGGCCUUGAGCAGAGUCUCGUUGCCACGUAGCAGCUCGGACGAAGGAUGGAUGGUGGAGAGAAAUCUCCACAGGCGAUCCACAUUGCCCGCCUGCAGGAGGGCCUCGCAGAGACAUGAGACCUGGUCCGUGGAAAAACUCACUGCCGACUUUUGGAAACUUUCGAGGAGUUGUUCCGUCACUUGAUCCGCGUAUUUUUCCUCCUCCGUGGACUCGGAGGCCGUCGGCUCCUCUGCGCUAUUGUCGGAUUGUUCUGUGGGCUUCAGAGACAAGGAAGCCAUGUUUUACUUUAACUUUUUUUUUCCUCCGCUGGUUCCUCCUCCUCGCUCCCUUUCUCUGCCUUCCAACACAACCAGUCCACCCAAGAGUGGAAACUCGGCGAGGACACGCCUCUUUUCCCCCUCAUGUAGCCAGAAAGUUAGCAAAUAACUUUGUAAAUCAUUUACGUAUUAUUUCCAACUGUUAAAUUAACUAAGUGAACAGCCUUGUCACUGUUUUACGUGUUUUCAGGCAUUCUAGUUGAACAUUUUAUGUACUAUUUGCUGACGUUAUGAUCUAAAUACAUAACCCUAAUUAUGAUACAAUCUAUACUGCACGUAGGUGGCUUGGAAAUAUCACAUAACUCCACAAAUAAGAUUUUGUUUUAGAGAUCGGUAGUUUCGAUAAAGCUUCUCUAAAUGAAA